rnacentral:rRNA from 1 species
UACGAAGGGGGCUAGCGUUGCUCGGAAUUAUUGGGCGUAAAGCGCGCGUAGGCGGUUACUCAAGUCGGAUGUGAAAGCCCUCGGCUUAACUGAGGAAGUGCACCCGAAACUGAGUAGCUAGAGUACUAAAGAGGGUCGCGGAAUUCCCGGUGUAGAGGUGAAAUUCGUAGAUAUCGGGAGGAACACCGGUGGCGAAGGCGGCGACCUGGGUAGAUACUGACGCUGAGGCGCGAAAGCGUGGGGAGCAAACAGG